UAUUUGCCUUAAUUCUGCAAUUGCCUUAAUUCUGCAAUCCAUCUGAAAAGUACUCAGACUCACUUUUCCAACUAUCUAUUGCUAACUGUCCUCUAGUAAGUAAACAGUGCAAAAAGAGAUAAAGGAUGGAGCAGUUGAAGAUAGCUUGCAUGUCUUAGCUUGCGUGAAUGACAGAUUACUCAUUAUCUGGGCAGAAAAGGAGAAAGGUGUUAGAUCUCACAAGGAAACUUGGAAAAAUCAGUGAAAGAUAUAUCACAUCUCAUUCAGGUUUUAACACAAGAAACCUGAACAAGAAUCUGAAGAAGGGAAGAAUGAAUUCUGGCCUCCAAAGGUAAUUUGAUGACCUAAUAAUAUGGUGAGAUGUCAUUAGGUAACAAUGAAACAAUCCCUCUUUAAUUAAACCAUGUUAUGUAUAUGUUUUAAAAGUUUGAGUUGGAACUCUCUCGAUUGGGGUGCGUUUAGUGCAAAAGAUGAUGGACAGGAUAUGAUAAAAAUUCAUUCUAUCCCUUGUUUGAUGUGCACUUCAAAAAGAAGGGUUGGAUUACAAAUAGAAAUUUUAGUACUGGUGAAGUGGUAAUCGUCGCAUACCAGCGAAAAUCAAAACUUUACCUGACUUCAUAUGCGCCCUUUGCAAUUUAGAGACCUUGCUAGUUAGAAAAGUCAUACAAAUUCAGUGAAAGCAAUGACCUUUGGAACUGGUAGAAGUAACAAUGGAUAUAGUCAAUCUUUCAAAUAUUUAAAAAUUUUGUACUCUAACAGAGAGGCUGCUGUCAGGAUUUGGAAAAUAGGAAUAUUUGAUGAUUGAUAGUUGCAAGGAAUGGACAUGCCUAAUUGCAAAAGGAAUUGGGAUCACUUGGGAGCCUAAUGUUUCUCCCUUGGCUGAGAGUUUUGAAUUGUUCACAACUUGUACUUGUAGCGUUAGAGACAGAGGAAGCAGAAGAGGAGCAUUUGCAACUUGACAGGCUUUGCGAGUUUCAAUGUCUAACAAUUACGAAAUGUGAACAACUUCAAAGGCCACCAAAGGUCUUGGAUUUGGUCACGUUCCUUGUAGAUAUACAGAUUGCCAAUGCCCAAGCAUGGUUUCUGUUUUAACAAAUAACCUGCUUCUGCCUUGAAGAAGAUUGCGAGAAUUUACAAUGUUUGGUGGACGAAGAAGAAGAAGAUACUAGCACAACUUCACCUCUCUUAAGGCAGUGACGUUUGUUGGUUGUUCAGCUGAGAUAUCCUUUCCUAUUCUGCUGCUUCUCCAUGACUAGUAAGAUAUGAACGAGAAAAGGUGGUGGGUAAUUGAGAUUAGUUUUCUUUGUAAGCUUUGUUCUCUGCAUUGUCUUAGAGCUCUGGGUGAUGUCAUCUUGUUUUCGGACUAAGAUUCUGUGGCCUGCUCCCCUUCCUUCAACUAUUUUAUAAAAUUCGUAGUAAUGGAUCAAUAUUGUAUUUCGACGA